AAAGUAAUGCGGGCUUUAUAUAUAAUCUGGAAGACAGUCUCAACCCCGUAAAACGCAGAGAGCUUU
rnacentral:ribozyme from 2 species